GACGAACGCUGGCGGCGUGCCUAAUACAUGCAAGUAGAACGCUGAAGAGAGGAGCUUGCUCUUCUUGGAUGAGUUGCGAACGGGUGAGUAACGCGUAGGUAACCUGCCUUGUAGCGGGGGAUAACUAUUGGAAACGAUAGCUAAUACCGCAUAACAAUGGAUGACACAUGUCAUUUAUUUGAAAGGGGCAAUUGCUCCACUACAGGAUGGACCUGCGUUGUAUUAGCUAGUAGGUGAGGUAAUGGCUCACCUAGGCGACGAUACAUAGCCGACCUGAGAGGGUGAUCGGCCACACUGGGACUGAGACACGGCCCAGACUCCUACGGGAGGCAGCAGUAGGGAAUCUUCGGCAAUGGGGGCAACCCUGACCGAGCAACGCCGCGUGAGUGAAGAAGGUUUUCGGAUCGUAAAGCUCGGUUGUAAGUCAAGAACGGGUGUGAGAGUGGAAAGUUCACACUGUGACGGUAGCUUACCAGAAAGGGACGGCUAACUACGUG
rnacentral:rRNA from 1 species